GACGGAGGGUGCUAGCGUUGUUCGGAAUUACUGGGCGUAAAGCGUGCGCAGGCGGCUUUGCAAGACAGAUGUGAAAUCCCCGGGCUUAACCUGGGAACUGCAUUUGUGACUGCAUGGCUGGAGUGCGGCAGAGGGGGAUGGAAUUCCGCGUGUAGCAGUGAAAUGCGUAGAUAUGCGGAGGAACACCGAUGGCGAAGGCAAUCCCCUGGGCCUGCACUGACGCUCAUGCACGAAAGCGUGGGGAGCAAACAGG
rnacentral:rRNA from 1 species